rnacentral:rRNA from 1 species
CGUGCCAGCAGCCGCGGUAAAACGUAGGGGACAAGCGUUAUCCGGAUUCACUGGGCGUAAAGAGCGUUGAGGCGGUUCCGUAAGUUGGGCGUGAAAGCUCCGGGCUUAACCCGGAGAUGUCGUUCAAUACUGCGGGGCUUGAGGACAGCAGAGGAAGGUGGAAUUCCCGGUGUAGUGGUGAAAUGCGUAGAUAUCGGGAGGAACACCCGUGGCGAAGGCGGCCUUCUGGGCUGUUCCUGACGCUGAAGGCGAAAGCUAGGGGAGCGAACGGGAUUAGAUACCCCGGUAGUCCUAGCUGUAAACGAUGGAUGCUGGGUGUGGGGGGUGUAAAUUCCCUCUGUGCCGAAGCAAACGCGUUAAGCAUCCCGCCUGGGGACUACGGCCGCAAGGCUAAAACUCAAACGAAUUGACGGGGGCCCGCACAAGCAGCGGAGCGUGUGGUUUAAUUCGAUGCUACACGAAGAACCUUACCUGGGUUUGACAUGCACGUGGUAGGGAACCGAAAGGGGACCGACCUUCGGGAGCGUGCACAGGUGCUGCAUGGCUGUCGUCAGCUCGUGCCGUGAGGUGUCGGGUUAAGUCCCGUAACGAGCGCAACCCUUGCCCUUAGUUACAAGUGUCUAAGGGGACUGCCCGGGACAACUGGGAGGAAGGUGGGGAUGACGUCAAGUCAGCAUGGCCUUUAUAUCCAGGGCUACACACACGCUACAAUGGCCAGUACAAUAGGUAGCCAAGUCGUGAGACGGAGCCAAUCCUUAAAGCUGGUCUCAGUUCGAAUUGCAGUCUGCAACUCGACUGCAUGAAGCUGGAGUUGCU